rnacentral:rRNA from 1 species
GACAGAGGGUGCAAACGUUUGUUCGGAAUUACUGGGCGUAAAGCGCGUGUAGGCGGCUUUGCAAGUCGGGUGUGAAAUCCCACGGCUCAACCGUGGAAGUGCAUUCGAAACUGCGAGGCUAGAGUCCUGGAGAGGAAGGUGGAAUGCUUGGUGUAGAGGUGAAAUUCGUAGAUAUCAAGCGGAACACCGGUGGCGAAGGCGGCCUUCUGGACAGUGACUGACGCUGAGACGCGAAAGCGUGGGGAGCAAACAGGG